AACAACACUUGACUGGUAAUGAGUUUACAGAAGAGUAUGCUGAUGAUAUAAAGUGAUAUGGUGAUUGAAUUGUUCAUUCGUUGUAUUUCAUAUUUUCUUGCACUUACGGCUUAAAAUAGCAUCUUCCGACUAUAACCAUGCUGUCAACAUGAAGGAGCACUGCUGACUGGUGUCAUCAUAGUCGCGGCAUCAGAUUGUGAGGUAUCAAAGCUUUUAUCGUUUCUUUUCUCACUUGAUUUUACUAUUAAUUUAGAAGGAAACUAAGAGUAUAGAUAAUUUAUUUCCGUUUCUAGUAUGUCUCUAGGAAGAGGUAUCCUAGUCCUACAGGAUUUUGCCACAGCAGGCAAGCGAAGAUGCUAACGCAGUCUCCACAUCUACUUUUUGGUGAGCAAUAAAAAUUUUGUUCAUCGUUCCCCGGAUUUUACAUGAUGUCUUUAGUUAUUUGAUUUUCCCUGGACACACAACAUUUUGC
rnacentral:lncRNA from 1 species